CGCCGUAAACGAUGAACACUAGGUGUGGCGGACUGAUUCAUGUCUGCCGUGUCGAAGCUAACGCAUUAAGUGUUCCGCCUGGGGAGUACGGCCGCAAGGCUAAAACUCAAAGGAAUUGACGGGGCCCCGCACAAGCGGCGGAGCAUGCGGCUUGAUUCGAUGCAACCCGAAGAACCUUACCUGGGUUUGACAUGGUGGGUCUAGCUGUGGAAACACAGUGUGCUUACGCGCUCAUCACAGGUGGUGCAUGGCUGUCGUCAGCUCGUGUCGUGAGAUGUUGGGUUAAGUCCCGCAACGGGCGCAACCCUUGUCCUAUGUUGCCAGCACGUAAUGGUGGGGACUCAUGGGAGACUGCCGGGGACAACUCGGAGGAAGGCGAGGACGACGUCAAGUCAUCAUGCCCCUUAUACCCAGGGCUGCACGCAUGCUACAAUGGGCGGUACAGUGGGCCGCGAUCUCGCAAGAGUGAGCCAAUCCCUUAAAGCCGUCCCCAGUUCGGAUUGAAGUCUGCAACUCGACUUCAUGAAGCCGGAGUCGCUAGUAAUCGUGGAUCAGCUAUGCCACGGUGAAUACGUUCUCGGGGCUUGUACACACCGCCCGUCAAGCCAUGGAAGCUGGGGGUGCCUGAAGUCAGUGACCGCAAGGAGCUGCCUAGGGUAAAACUAGUAACUGGGGCUAAGUCGUAACAAGGUAACCGUA
rnacentral:rRNA from 1 species